UGCCAGCCGCCGCGGUAAGACGAACCAAGCGAACGUUAUUCGGAAUUACUGGGCUUAAAGCGCGUGUAGGCGGACUACCACGUUGGUUGUUGAAAUCCCCCGGCUUAACCGGGGAACUGGCACCAAUACGAGUAGUCUGGAGGUGGGUAGGGGAGACUGGAACUUCCGGUGGAGCGGUGAAAUGCGUUGAGAUCGGAAGGAACGCCCGCGGCGAAAGCGAGUCUCUGGACCCAUACUGACGCUGAGACGCGAAAGCCAGGGGAGCAAACGGGAUUAGAUACCCCGGUAGUCCUGGCUGUAAACAUUGGGCACUGGGUAGUGGAACCGCCGAUGGUUUCACUGCCGCAGGGAAACCGUGAAGUGCCCCGCCUGGGGAGUAUGGUCGCAAGGCUGAAACUCAAAGGAAUUGGCGG
rnacentral:rRNA from 1 species